UUCUCACCAUAAUACAUAUAUAUCGCAUCGCUCUCGAGAAAUAGGUAGGUAUAAUAUUUCCAUGGCAAAUGUAAAAUAUACGUCGGCAAAAUUUGCUCACUUUCGCUAGUUGAAACGUGACAAUUUCAUUAGCAACGCUGAUAUGAUUAUUUGAUCAAAAAUGGACGAAGAGUUAUUUAAUAAAGUUGUCACCGAAGUUUCCAGUUUCUAUCGAGCAAUUACAACACCAUUUUUGAAUCGAAUGUCCGAUCAUGAUAGAGAAAACGCAGUAUUAUGGAGUCAAAAAAUAAUGGAUUUAAAGAACUACGAUUCGUUGACGAAGUAUCUGACAUAUUUAACUUUCAUGAUUAUAAACGGACGACUGGUCACACCUUUCGAUACAGAUCCGAAUACUUCGCAAAUUCCACCUCUUCCAGUACACGUUGGAGAAGCCAAGAUGUUGGAUUUCAUCGAAAAAGUCGUAGCUCAAUGUCAAUCGGUACAAAACAACCAAAGCUCGCAGCAUUCAACCUCUGGUGAAAUUUCGGCAGCUCUCUCUAACGAUGAAAUGGCUUUCAUAUCGACGCAGCCGACUCCGGGAGUAGGUAUUCGAAUGUACCUAGCUACAUCAGCUCAGCCUUUCGCAAUGUGGUCGAAAGCCGAAAAUGCUCCUCAAGCCACCAAAUACAGUCUACCAGCCAGAGAAGUAAUCGAUCGAGGAUUAGCAGUAGCCAAGGAAAAAUUCUACUCGUAUUUAGAAGAAAUCGAGAAGCUCAAUAAGCGAAACGAAUCCUCAGGGGGUGCUGGAGUAAACGCAAACUGCGUAAAAUGCCAGAAGCCUGUUUCCGUCGGUAAUGUAUCUACUCUAGACACCAGUAAAUCUACUCUGGAUGGAACUAUAUCUGAUAUUAAUUAUGAUUUUGGAAGCUUAAACGAUACCUCGAAUCGAUCCGAACCAACAAAUGGCUCCAGAAUACCUCGACAAGUGCAGGAAGAGACGCUAGAUAGUACUCAUGCCUCAUCCAAUGAUCGAUCUGCCUGUCAAAAUGAGGUCGCUGGACCUUCUGGAGCAAAUGCUAGCACCGCGACAAUUCCUCCAAAAGUUGGCAAAUACGGCGGUUACAGAACUCGGCCAUGCGAACCUUUGAACGAAGAAGACAGGAGACGAGAGGCGGAAAUAGACGAGAAAUACGAACGUUGGUUCGGCGAGCCGCAAUACAACAAGUAUCGAGAAGAAAUCAGAGGAUUUCUCAGGGGUGGCACGAAAAUAGACGCUAUCAGACGAGCGGUUCAUUCGCAUAUCAGACAACAACACGUACCAGGUCGAGAAUUACCUCUUUACGCUUACGAUUCAGAAGAUGAAUCAGUUCAUCGUGAGAUACGUAUCAUUCAUCUUCGAACGAGAUAUCUGGACGUACUAGGAAGAGAAUACGGAAUCGUAGACGAAGCCGAACUUUAUUACCUCGUCGGACUAAUGGGCUUAAGCGAAAAGAACAUGGAAAAGGCCAGAGAACUAAUUAAAUACGCCGAGGAAGGUCUAAUCGACGAAAAUUUCAGACAGAAAUUCCAUUCGGUUGAAGGUCGAACGAUGUGUAGACUUAUUCCAAUCAUCGAAGAGAUACUACAAUCGACUCGUAGAUCAGCGAAUACGUCUCAAUCGUCGAUUCCUGUUGCAUCUCAAUCGGCAUCUUCAUCUACACAGGCUAAUAAGACUUCCGGAAGACCAAACACAUCUCAACAUCGUAGUAUGAGAUCUAUGCCUCCAACUUCUGUCAUGGAUAAUCAUUCUGAUAGCGUACGUGACGAUUCAUCAGAUCAUUCGAAUCGAUCGAAUAUCGAAAACGAACCGGAGCCGGAAUUUUUUCAAAGGGUUGAACAACUCGAUGAUACCCAAAAUUCAAACGAACAACAAAAUCCAACGAAUUCUACACAAAACUCAUCGAAUGAAGAUCAAUCUGAACAGGAACCAGAUGGAAGGGUUUAUCCUCAUUGUCCUAAAGAAAACUGUGAUUAAAAUAAGAUAAUUUUUAUCGUUUCUAUUCGUAUUAUGUACGUAUUUUGACGCAGGUACAUUUAUUUCGAUUAAACGACCAACGUACAAAAACGCUGAUGGGAUGGGUGUACAUAUUUACUUACUUGGAUUAACGUAUAUCGAGGUAAUUUCUGAUUCAAUUGUUCCAGGUCAUUGUUAAGUUCGAUGCACUUGAAUAAUUCGCAUGUUUGUUCGGUUUAAAUUGAUGCAUUAUCUUUCUCACUAGUAAAAAGCAUCCAUCCCGUUGAGUUUAAGCAGGAAAAAACACUGCAAUAGUGAUUAAAAGAUAAAUUCCUGGUGAUGGAACAGAAUGAAUCGUAAUUCGUAGUUCUUAUUUGGUGAUGAAUCAAUUUUGACUUUUUGACAAAUGGCGAUAAUAAUAUGAAAAAUGGUUCAAAUUAAUUUAAAUUUAGCAGCUCAUGUGACACAUAUUUUACGUUAUUAAUGUAAAAAAAAAAAACGACCAAAUGUUUAAUAAAAAGCGGAGGCUCGUCAAUCAAA